rnacentral:sRNA from 1 species
UCCUGUCACCGCAAAGCGUAUCCGCUGG